GAUGAACGCUGGCGGCGUGCUUAACACAUGCAAGUCGAACGGAAAGGCUCCUGCUUGCAGGGGUACUCGAGUGGCGAACGGGUGAGUAACACGUGGGUGAUCUGCCCUGCACUUCGGGAUAAGCCUGGGAAACUGGGUCUAAUACCGGAUAGGACGAUGGCUUGGAUGCCAUUGUGGAAAGUUUUUCGGUGUGGGAUGAGCUCGCGGCCUAUCAGCUUGUUGGUGGGGUAAUGGCCUACCAAGGCGGCGACGGGGAGCCGGCCUGAGAGGGUGUACGGCCACAUUGGGACUGGGAUACGGCCCAGACUCCUACGGGAGGCAGCAGUGGGGAAUAUUGCACAAUGGGCGCAAGCCUGAUGCAGCGACGCCGCGUGGGGGAUGACGGCCUUCGGGUUGUAAACUCCUUUCGCUAGGGACGAAGCGCAAGUGACGGUACCUGGAGAAGAAGCACCGGCUAACUACGUG
rnacentral:rRNA from 1 species